rnacentral:rRNA from 1 species
UACGUAGGGGGCUAGCGUUAUCCGGAGUUACUGGGCGUAAAGGGUGCGUAGGUGGUUUCUUAAGUCAGAGGUGAAAGGCUACGGCUCAACCGUAGUAAGCCUUUGAAACUGAGAAACUUGAGUGCAGGAGAGGAGAGUAGAAUUCCUAGUGUAGCAGUGAAAUGCGUAGAUAUUAGGAGGAAUACCAGUUGCGAAGGCGGCUCUCUGGACUGUAACUGACACUGAGGCACGAAAGCGUGGGGAGCAAACAGGAUUAGAUACCCUGGUAGUCCCU